rnacentral:lncRNA from 1 species
GAGAGUAAAGGGUAGACCAGAAGGGCCAGGUAACAAAAUGGCUGGACUAAAUGGGGAAGGGUGGCUGGUGGAAGGGUUACCCAGCUCCUGGGCUGGAAAUGUUUAGGGUAGGGGGCAGGGUUUGCCAGCCAUACUCUAUUACAGAUAGGAACUGAGGGAUGCUGGGAAAACCUGAUGGCCAUUGUCUGCUUUGAUAUGUUAAUGGACACCUGUUAGCUGGUUGUCCAGAGUUUGAGACCUAACAUCCCAGCCUCUUUUUGUUGAUAAUAAGAGGAGACACAAUCUUUUCUAUGACUAAUUCCUGCUGACCCUGGGGAAUCGUUGGUAGGAACAGAAGAAAGCAGGAAUGUUGGCCAAGACCUGAAAGAGAGGGAGGGGAGUGGAGUCUGCUUUGCUUGCUGUCCAGGCUCUCGGGACCAUCUGAGGAAGUGCAGGCCUCUUUGUAGAGGUCUGUGAUGCUGGACCACCCUCAGCUAGCCAGCCACUUUGGAGCUGUGGUAUAGAUUCCAAAGGAAUACCUGAAGCUGGAAGACUCUGUUCUUCCAGAAACCUCCGGAGACAGAUACCCACCAGACCAUCAAGAGCCUCUUGCCAUUGAAUACUUCUUAUCACCCAAACCACUAAACCAUGAAGCUUUACCCACAUGUCUACCUCUUAAAGUUUGUCAACUAUAUUAUUAUUUCAUACUUGUUGGUGUCGUCAACCCUAAGUGAAUAUUCAAUCAUUAUCCACUUGAAAUGGACGAAUGAACACAUCUCAAGGUUCUUCUGUUCAUGUUGCCUUUACUUGCGUUUUGGGUUUUUAUUCUGGUUUCACUCCUAGUAGAAUAAUGAUUUACUAAUUAAAGAGAAGAGACGAGAAGAGGAGUCAGAUGGUGGUGGCACACAUCUUUAAUCCCAAUACUCUGGAGGCAGAAGCAAGUUGAUCUCCCAGUUCAAGGGCAACCUGGUAUAGAGUGAGUUCCAGGACAGCCAGGGUUACACAGAGAAACCCUGCCGAAAGAAAGAAAAGAAAAGAAAAGAAAAGAAAAGAAAAGAAAAGAAAAGAAAAGAAAAGAAAAGAAAAGAAAAGAAAUAUGGUGUUACUAUGUAGCUCCAACUGGCCACAAACUUGAUAUUCUUCUGCUUCAGCCUCUCAAAUGCUUUGGAUUACAGGCUUGUGCUACCAUGCCUGAUGCUACUUAUUUUAGAAUUUGACCAUGGGAAUCUAGAAGAUGGUUCAGUGCUUAACAGCACUGGAUGCUCUUGCAGGUUCAAUUUCCAACACCUGCACAGUAGCUCACAGCUGCCUGUAACUCCAGUUCCAGCAGAUCUGAUGUUCAGUUCUGAGGGGCCAGGCACACUCAUGGCAGACAGACACACUUGCAGCUAAAAGAUUCAUGCAAUAAAAAUAAAUAAAGAUAUUAAAAAAUAAAUUGUAAGCUGGGAACAUGCCUUUAAUCCCAGCCCCUGUGAGUUAAAGGCCAGCCUGGUCUACAGAAUGAAUUCCAGGACAGCCAGGACUACACAGAGAAACCCUGUCUCAAAAAAAUCCAAAAAAGGGGGCUGGUGAGAUGGCUCAGUGGGUAAGAGCACCCGACUGCUCUUCCGAAGGUCAGGAGUUCAAAUCCCAGCAACCACAUGGUGGCUCACAACCAUCCGAUCACGAGAUCUGACUCCCUCUUCUGGAGUGUCUGAAGACAGCUACAGUGUACUUACAUAUAAUAAAUAAAUCUUUAAAAAAAAAAAAAAAUCCAAAAAAAUUUUUUUCUUUUAAUGAAUUUAACUGCAUAAUACGUUCUUUAAUUGACUUGGCUGAGUUUUUGCUAGGACACGGGACUUUCUAUAAUCAUUUUGCCUCUCAGGAGCUGGCAUUACAAACCUGUACUACCAGGCCUAGCUUCUCUGGUAUCUCUUCAAAAAUCUGGGGGCUGGAGAGAUGGCUCAGGCAUUAAGGACACAAGACAAAUCGUCUCUCCAAAGGACUUGAGUUCAUUUCCUGGCACCCAUACAGUGUGACACUCUACCACUAGGGAAUCCAACACCCUCUCCUAGCCUUUGUGGAUACUAUAUGCAAAUGUACACAUCCACCUAGUACAGCCACAUAUACACAUAAUGAAAAAUAAAAUCUUAUAAAUAAUCUGAUAAAGAAGCCAGACCUGGUGACACAGGCCCAUAAUCCCAGCUACUCAGGAGGCUGAUGCGGAAGGGUUAUAAUUUCAAGGCUUGCCUAGGCUGGAGAGUGAAUUCAAGGCCAGCCUGGACUGUGUCUUUAAAUUCAAAGUUUAUUUUAAAAAGCCGAUAUAAGAUGGGGCUGGAGAGAUGGUUCACUGGGUAAGAGCAGUAGCUGCUUUUGCAAAGGACUCGGGUUCAAGUCUCAGCUUAUAAAUAUACGCAAACUCCAGUUUUAGGAGAUAUAGCACCUUCUUUUGGUUCCCAAGGGGAUCAGACAGGCAUGGAGUGCAUUUAAUUACAGGCAGACAAAACAUUCAUACAUUAAAAAAAAAAAAAGUUUUAAAAAGAGCCAAAUGUAGUGGAUCGGGCUUUUAAAUCCAAUAUUUAGGAGACAGAGGCAAGUUUAUCUCUGUGAGUUAAAGGAAAGUCUGGUCUACAUAG